rnacentral:rRNA from 1 species
AAGGAAUAUUGCUCAAUGGGAGAAAUCCUGAAGCAGCAACGCCGCGUGGAGGAUGAAGGGUCUAUGACUUGUAAACUCCUGUAAAGAAGGAAAAAAUUCCCAUUUGAUGGGAGAUGAUGGUACUUCUGGAGUAAGCCCCGGCUAACUACGUGCCAGCAGCCGCGGUAAUACGUAGGGGGAAAGCGUUGUCCGGAUUUACUGGGUGGAAAGGAUGCUCAGGCGGAUUUGUAAGUCAGAGGUGAAAUCUUACAGCUUAACUGUGAAACUGCCUUUGAUACUGCAAGCCUAGAGUAUGGAAGAGACUGAAGGAAUAUCUGGUGUAGCAGUGAAAUGCGUAGAUAUCAGAUAGAACACCAAUGGCGAAGGCAGUCACUUGGUCCAUUACUGACGCUAAAGCACGAAAGCGU